CCUACGGGAGGCAGCAGUAGGGAAUAUUGCUCAAUGGGGGAAACCCUGAAGCAGCAACGCCGCGUGGAGGAUGAAGGUUUUAGGAUUGUAAACUCCUUUUUGUAGAGAAGAUUAUGACGGUAUCUAACGAAUAAGCACCGGCUAACUCCGUGCCAGCAUCCGCUGUAAUACGGAGGGUGCAAGCGGUACUCGGAAUCACUGGGCGUAAAGGGUGCGUAGGCGGGGUAAUAAGUCAGAUGUGAAAUCCUGUAGCUUAACUCCAGAACUGCAUUUGAAACUGUUACUCUGGAGUGUGGGAGAAGUAGGUGGAAUGCUUGGUGUAGGGGUAAAAUCCGUAGAGAUCAAGAGGAAUACUCAUUGCGAAGGCGACAUGCUGGAACAUUACUGACGCUGAUGCACGAAAGCGUGGGGAGCAAACAGGAUUAGAUACCCUUGUAGUC
rnacentral:rRNA from 1 species